rnacentral:rRNA from 1 species
ACGCGUGAGAAUCUGGCUCUAGGUUCGGGACAACCACUGGAAACGGUGGCUAAUACCGGGUAUGCCGAGAGGUGAAAGGUUAACUGCCUGGAGAUGAGCUCGCGUCUGAUAGCUAGUUGGUGGUGUAAGGGACUACCAAGGCGACGAUCAGUAGCUGGUCUGAGAGGAUGAUCAGCCACACUGGAACUGAGACACGGUCCAGACUCCUACGGGAGGCAGCAGUGGGGAAUUUUCCGCAAUGGGCGAAAGCCUGACGGAGCAAUACCGCGUGAGGGAGGAAGGCUCUUGGGUUGUAAACCUCUUUUCUCAGGGAAUAAGCAAGUGAAGGUACCUGAGGAAUCAGCAUCGGCUAACUCCGUGCCAGCAGCCGCGGUAAUACGGAGGAUGCAAGCGUUAUCCGGAAUGAUUGGGCGUAAAGCGUCCGUAGGUGGCUGUGUGUGUCUAUUGUUAAAGAGUUUGGCUCAACCAAAUAAGGGCGGUAGAAACUACACAGCUAGAGUGCGUUCGGGGCAGAGGGAAUUCCUGGUGUAGCGGUGAAAUGCGUAGAGAUCAGGAAAACACC